rnacentral:rRNA from 1 species
UACGUAGGGGGCAAGCGUUGUCCGGAUUUAUUGGGCGUAAAGAGCGUGUAGGCGGCCAAGCAGGUCCGCUGUGAAAACUCGAGGCUCAACCUCGAGACGUCGGUGGAAACCGUUUGGCUAGAGUCCGGAAGAGGAGAGUGGAAUUCCCGGUGUAGCGGUGAAAUGCGCAGAUAUCAGGAGGAACACCAAUGGCGAAGGCAGCUCGCUGGGACGUGACUGACGCUGGGACGCGAAAGCGUGGGGAGCAAACAGG